rnacentral:rRNA from 1 species
CCGCGAUAAGCCAUGAUUUCUGGAAUGAUUCAUGACUAAAACCUAUAUGGCCCCUGGAUUGGACUGCGGCCGAUCAGGCUGUUGGUGAGGUAAUGGCCCACCAAACCUAUUACCGGUACGGGCUCUGAGAGGAGGAGCCCGGAGAUGGGCACUGAGACAAGGGCCCAGGCCCUAUGGGGCGCAGCAGGCGCGAAACCUCUGCAAUAGGCGAAAGCUUGACAGGGUUACUCUGAGUGAUUUCCGCUAAGGGAAUCUUUUGGCACCUCUAAAAAUGGUGCAGAAUAAGGGGUGGGCAAGUCUGGUGUCAGCCGCCGCGGUAAUACCAGCACCCCGAGUGGUCGGGACGAUUAUUGGGCCUAAAGCAUCCGUAGCCGGUCCUGCAAGUCUUCCGUUAAAUCCAGCUGCUUAACAGAUGGGCCGCGGGAGAUACUACAGGGCUAGGAGGCGGGAGAGGCAAGCGGUACUUUAUGGGUAGGGGUAAAAUCCGCUGAUCCAUAGAAGACCACCAGUGGCGAAGGCGGCUUGCCAGAACGCGCUCGACGGUGAGGGAUGAAAGCUGGGGGAGCAAACCGGAUUAGAUACCCGGGUAGUCCCAGCUGUAAACGAUGCAGACUCGGUGAUGGGUUGGCCUCGCGCCUGCCCAGUGCCGCAGGGAAGCCGUUAAGUCUGCCGCC